GAUGAAGAACGUAGCGAAAUGCGAUAAGUAGUGUGAAUUGCAGAAUUCAGUGAAUCAUCGAAUCUUUGAACGCACAUUGCGCCCCUCGGUAUUCCGUGGGGCAUGCCUGUUCGAGCGUCAUUUAACCCCUCAAGCCUAGCUUGGUAUAGGGUGCUUGUCCCGCCUCUCGCGCGGCGACUCACCUCAAAGUCAUUGGCAGCCCGCAUCUCGCCGGCCGUGAGCGCAGCACAGACGCGCUCUUGGCAACGACGGAUCGGCUCUCCAAAAGCUUAUUUCAACCUCUGACCUCGGAUCAGGUAGGGAUACCCGCUGAACUUAAGCAUAUCAAUAAGCGGAGGA
rnacentral:misc_RNA from 1 species